UAGGGAAUCUUCGGCAAUGGACGGAAGUCUGACCGAGCAACGCCGCGUGAGUGAAGAAGGUUUUCGGAUCGUAAAGCUCUGUUGUAAGAGAAGAACGAGUGUGAGAGUGGAAAGUUCACACUGUGACGGUAUCUUACCAGAAAGGGACGGCUAACUACGUGCCAGCAGCCGCGGUAAUACGUAGGUCCCGAGCGUUGUCCGGAUUUAUUGGGCGUAAAGCGAGCGCAGGCGGUUAGAUAAGUCUGAAGUUAAAGGCUGUGGCUUAACCAUAGUACGCUUUGGAAACUGCUUAACUUGAGUGCAAGAGGGGAGAGUGGAAUUCCAUGUGUAGCGGUGAAAUGCGUAGAUAUAUGGAGGAACACCGGUGGCGAAAGCGGCUCUCUGGCUUGUAACUGACGCUGAGGCUCGAAAGCGUGGGGAGCAAACAGGAUUAGAUACCCUGGUAGUCCACGCCGUAAACGAUGAGUGCUUGGUGUUAGACCCUUUCCGGGGUUUAGUGCCGUAGCUAACGCAUUAAGCACUCCGCCUGGGGAGUACGACCGCAAGGUUG
rnacentral:rRNA from 1 species